UACGUAGGGAGCAAGCGUUGUUCGGAUUUACUGGGCGUAAAGGGCGCGUAGGCGGCAAUUCAAGUCAUCUGUGAAAUCUCCGGGCUUAACUCGGAACGGUCAGGAUAGUAUGACUGUCUGCUAGAGUGCAGAAGGGGCAAUCGGAAUUCUUGGUGUAGCGGUGAAAUGCGUAGAUAUCAAGAGGAACACCUGAGGUGAAGACGGGUUGCUGGGCUGACACUGACGCUGAGCGCGAAGCCAGGGAGCAAACGGG
rnacentral:rRNA from 1 species